CUGGUUGAUCCUGCCAGACCCGACUGCUAUCAGAGUGGGACUAAGCCAUGCGAGUCAACGUAGCAAUACGUGGCAUACGGCUCAGUAACACGUAGUCAACAUGCCCAGGGGACGUGGAUAACCUCGGGAAACUGAGGAUAAACCGCGAUAAGCCAUGAUUUCUGGAAUGAUUCAUGACUAAAACCUAUAUGGCCCCUGGAUUGGACUGCGGCCGAUCAGGCUGUUGGUGAGGUAAUGGCCCACCAAACCUAUUACCGGUACGGGCUCUGAGAGGAGGAGCCCGGAGAUGGGCACUGAGACAAGGGCCCAGGCCCUAUGGGGCGCAGCAGGCGCGAAACCUCUGCAAUAGGCGAAAGCUUGACAGGGUUACUCUGAGUGAUUUCCGCUAAGGGAAUCUUUUGGCACCUCUAAAAAUGGUGCAGAAUAAGGGGUGGGCAAGUCUGGUGUCAGCCGCCGCGGUAAUACCAGCACCCCGAGUGGUCGGGACGAUUAUUGGGCCUAAAGCAUCCGUAGCCGGUCCUGCAAGUCUUCCGUUAAAUCCAGCUGCUUAACAGAUGGGCCGCAGGAGAUACUACAGGGCUAGGAGGCGGGAGAGGCAAGCGGUACUUUAUGGGUAGGGGUAAAAUCCGCUGAUCCAUAGAAGACCACCAGUGGCGAAGGCGGCUUGCCAGAACGCGCUCGACGGUGAGGGAUGAAAGCU
rnacentral:rRNA from 1 species